ACGGAGGGUGCGUGCGUUGUCCGGAAUCAUUGGGCGUAAAGGGCGCGUAGGCGGCCACUUCAAGCGUGCGGUGAAAGUCGGGGGCUCAACCCCUGAUCGGCCGUGCGAACUGGGGGGCUGGAGCACUGUAGAGGCAGGCGGAAUUCCGGGUGUAGCGGUGGAAUGCGUAGAGAUCCGGAAGAACACCGAUGGCGAAGGCAAUCCCCUGGGCCUG
rnacentral:rRNA from 1 species